ACGUUAUUAGUAUAUUUUGAGUAUAUUGUCUUUCCAAGUCAAGGGUCCUAUGUAUUAGGUUAGCGUA
rnacentral:tRNA from 1 species